rnacentral:rRNA from 1 species
GUAGGGAAUAUUGGGCAAUGGUCGGAAGACUGACCCAGCCAUGCCGCGUGCAGGAAGACGGCCCUCUGGGUUGUAAACUGCUUUUAUCUGGGAAGAAAAAGGCCAUGCGUGGCAAAUUGCCGGUACCAGAUGAAUAAGCACCGGCUAACUCCGUGCCAGCAGCCGCGGUAAUACGGAGGGUGCGAGCGUUGUCCGGAUUUAUUGGGUUUAAAGGGUGCGUAGGCGGCUGAUUAAGUCAGCGGUGAAAGACUUCGGCUUAACCGGAGCAGUGCCGUUGAUACUGGUUGGCUUGAGUGUCGGAGGGGUACAGGGAAUUGAUGGUGUAGCGGUGAAAUGCAUAGAUACCAUCAGGAACACCGAUAGCGAAGGCAUUGUACUGGCCGACAACUGACGCUGAUGCACGAAAGUGUGGGGAUCGAACAGGAUUAGAUACCCCAGUAGUCC